AAUAAUAAUGUACCCAAUUUAAAAAUUGGUAUUUCCACCA
rnacentral:tmRNA from 1 species